rnacentral:rRNA from 1 species
CCCUUAGAUGUCCUGGGCCGCACGCGCGCUACACUGAGUGUCUGAGAUACGAGUCUGCCUGGUCCGGCAAGGUCUAGGUAAUCGCUAAAAGACACAUCAUGCUUGGGAUAGAUUAUUGCAAAUAUUAAUCUUGAACGAGGAAUUCCUAGUAAGCGCAAGUCAACAGCUUGCGUUGAUUACGUCCCUGCCCUUUGUACACACCGCCCGUCGCUACUACUGAUUGGAUGUUUAAGCGAGGUUCUCGGACUGCUAGCGACUUAGCUUCGGUGAGGUCGCAGUGUGGGAAGUGAACCUAGCUUUGGUGUCUAGAGGAAGUAAAAGUCGUAACA